AAUAGCGUAUAUUAAAGUUGUUGCGGUUAAAAAGCUCGUAGUUGGAUUUCUGCUGAGAACGACCGGUCCGCCCUUUGGGUGUGUAUCUGGCUCUUUCUUGGCAUCUUCUUGGUGAACGUUGCUGCACUUGACUGUGUGGAGCGCUACCCAGGACUUUUACUUUGAGGAAAUUAGAGUGUUUCAAGCAGGCAUACGCCUUGAAUACAUUAGCAUGGAAUAAUAAGAUAGGACCUCGGUUCUAUUUUGUUGGUUUCUAGAGCUGAGGUAAUGAUUAAUAGGGAUAGUUGGGGGCAUUCGUAUUUAACUGUCAGAGGUGAAAUUCUUGGAUUUGUUAAAGACGAACUACUGCGAAAGCAUUUGCCAAGGAUGUUUUCAUUGA
rnacentral:rRNA from 1 species